rnacentral:rRNA from 1 species
GACGAACGCUGGCGGCGUGCUUAACACAUGCAAGUCGAACGGAAAGGCCCCUUUGGGGGUCCUCGAGUGGCGAACGGGUGAGUAACACGUGAGUAACCUGCCCUUGACUUCCGGAUAACUUCAGGAAACUGGGGCUAAUACCGGGUAGGAAUCCUUGAUGCAUGGUGGGUGUUGGAAAGCUACGGCGGUUUUGGCUGGAGUCGCGGCUUAUCAGCUUGUUGGUGGGGUAGUGGCUUAGCAAGGCUUUGGCGGGUAGCCGGCCUGAGAGGGCGACCGGCCACAGCGGCACUGGGAUACGGCCACGACCCAGACUGGUGGCAGAAGUAGCAAAGAGUGAUAAAUGGGCGUAAGCCUGAUGCAGAACCGGCGCGGGCGGGAUGGCGGUGAACGGGUUGGAAUCCGAAUGCAGCAGGAGCGAGGAUUAUAGUGACGGUACCUGCAGAAGAAGCACCGGCUAACUACGUG